CCCUUAGAUGUUCUGGGCUGCACGCGCGCUACACUGAUGCGCUCAACGAGUUUAUGAACUUGCCCGGAAGGGUUGGUUAAUCUUUUUAAAACGCAUCGUGAUGGGGAUAGAUUAUUGCAAUUAUUAAUCUUCAACGAGGAAUUCCUAGUAAGCGCGAGUCAUCAGCUCGUGCUGAUUACGUCCCUGCCCUUUGUACACACCGCCCGUCGCUCCUACCGAUGGGUGAUCCGGUGAAUGAUUCGGACUCGGUUGCCUCUAGCCACUAGUGGCGCUCGAGAAAGUUUUGUGAACCUUAUCACUUGGAGGAAGGAGAAGUCGUAACA
rnacentral:rRNA from 1 species